rnacentral:rRNA from 1 species
CGACUACGAGUUUGAUCAUGGCUCAGGAUGAACGCUAGCGGCGGGCCUAAUACAUGCAAGUUGAACGAGAUUGUUGGUAGCAAUACUGACAUGAAAGUGGCGCACGGGUGCGUAACACGUAUGUAACCUACCUUUAACUGGGGGCAUAGCUUCGAGAAAUCGAAAUUAAUACCCCAUAACAUUUAGAAAAGGCAUCUUUUCUUUAUCAAAGUUCCGGCGGUUAAAGAUGGACAUGCGGUGCAUUAGCUUGUUGGUGAGGUAACGGCUCGCCAAGGCUACGAUGCAUAGGGGGUCUGAGAGGAUGAUCCCCCACACUGGUACUGAGACACGGACCAGACUCCUACGGGAGGCAGCAGUAGGGAAUAUUGGGCAAUGGACGAAAGUCUGACCCAGCCACGCCGCGUGAAGGAUGACUGCCCUAUGGGUUGUAAACUUCUUUUGUAUGGGAAGAAAAUUCCGAACGUGUUCGGAGCUGACGGUACCAUAAGAAUAAGCAUCGGCUAACUCCGUG